rnacentral:misc_RNA from 1 species
GAUGAAGAACGUAGCGAAAUGCGAUAAGUAAUGUGAAUUGCAGAAUUCAGUGAAUCAUCGAAUCUUUGAACGCACAUUGCGCCCAUUAGUAUUCUAGUGGGCAUGCCUGUUCGAGCGUCAUUUCAACCCUCAAGCCUUAGUUGCUUGGUGUUGGGAGCUUAUCUUGCCGAAAGGCGGGACAACUCCUUAAAUUUAUCGGCGGAGUCGCGGUGACCCCAAGCGUAGUAAAUUAUUUUUUCCUCGCUUUAGGUGUUAACGCUGGCUUUUCUAGCCGUUAAACCCCCCCUAAUAUUUUAAUGGUUGACCUCGGAUCAGGUAGGACUACCCGCUGAACUUAAGCAUAUCAAUAACGGAGGA